AACGAACGCUGGCGGCAUGCCUAACACAUGCAAGUCGAACGAGACCUUCGGGUCUAGUGGCGCCCGGGUGUGUAACGCGUGGGAACCUUCCCUUAGGUUCGGACUAACUCUCCGACAGGGGUGCUAAUACCGGAUCAUGUCUUCGGCCCAAAGAUUUAUCGCGUUUGGUUGGACCAGCGUUGGAUUCGCUGGUUAGUAGGGUAAAAGCUUACCACGGCGACGAUCCAUAGCUGGUAUGUGAGGAUGAUCAGCCACACUGGGACUGGGACGCGGCCCGGACUCCUACGGGAUGCAGCAGUGGCGGAUAGUGCAAAAUGGGGGAAAGCCUGAUCGAGCUAGGCUGGUAGAGUGAUGUAGUCCGGAGGGUUGUAAAGCUCUUGUACCCGGGCUGAUAUUGACGGUACCGGGAGAAUAAGCUCCGGCUAACUCCGUG
rnacentral:rRNA from 1 species